rnacentral:rRNA from 1 species
GACGAACCGUGCGAACGUUAUUCGGAAUCACUGGGCUUAAAGGGCGCGUAGGCGGGCCUGUUAGUCAGGGGUGAAAUCCCACGGCCCAACCGUGGAAGUGCCUCUGAUACUGCGGGCCUCGAGGGAGGUAGGGGCGUGCGGAACUCAGGGUGGAGCGGUGAAAUGCGUAGAUAUCCUGAGGAACACCGGUGGCGAAAGCGGCGCGCUGGACCUCUUCUGACGCUGAGGCGCGAAAGCCAGGGGAGCAAACGGG